rnacentral:rRNA from 1 species
UACGGGGGGGGCAAGCGUUGUUCGGAAUUACUGGGCGUAAAGGGCGCGUAGGCGGCCUGCUAAGUCGGACGUGAAAUCCCCGGGCUCAACCCGGGAACUGCGUCCGAGACUGGCAGGCUCGAAUCCGGGAGAGGGAUGCGGAAUUCCAGGUGUAGCGGUGAAAUGCGUAGAUAUCUGGAGGAACACCGGUGGCGAAGGCGGCAUCCUGGACCAAUAUUGACGCUGAGGAGCGAAAGCCAGGGGAGCAAACGGG